GUCUCAAAGGAGUGCAACCACGGGCAGCAGAUACCACUGCAACGGGUCCUCUCUUUCAGCAGCGCCCUUAUCCAUCUCCUGGAGCAGUCUUGCGUAAAAAUGCUGAAAUUGCUUCUCAAAGGAAAAAUACUAAGUCGAUUCUGACCCCUAUAUCCAAGAGAGGUGAUGGUAGUGAUGGACUGGGUGAUGCUGAUUGAAGAAUUUAAGCCAUUGUGUUAUAUUUAACUUUAAAUGAGGAUUCACAGAAAGGGAACUUUUCCCAGUUGAAGUUGCUGCACCACAAGGCGCUAGACAUUAUUUCCUUUUCUUCUUGACGUACUGCUGAAAGAGUUUCAUCCUAAAAUGCUAUAGGCAUGUAGAACAUAUAAUCUGCAGUUGAAAUGCUAGCGUCUAAAUUCCUUCUUCUUCGUCUUCUUCAGAAAAGACUUCCAAACUUCAUAAACAGGGACUGCUGUAGGAGCAUAAUAUUUAUUGUAAUGUUUGGCAUACGGUUCCUGUAACCAGAGAAUUGAGUAGUUUUUUUUUUCUUCUUUUUUGAGAAAGA
rnacentral:misc_RNA from 1 species